GGAAAAUCUUUACCCAACCUUUCAGCAAGCAUAGCAGAACCUUCUUCGAACAAUUCCUCCACAACACCAACAGCUGAAAGUUUGUUUGCAGAUUUACCCAAAGAGUUUUGAUAUUUCUUUCCAAAGAAUGAGGUAAGCACAUUUUGCUUCUUCCUUGGAGUUGAUGGUAAUAGUAUAGGUUGCUCGGAUGGGAUAAUAUCAACAACCAAGCAAGUUGUAUCAUCCUUCAACCCCCUUGACCGCAAAGCCUCCUUCACAACCAGCUUGGCAGCAAGCUCUGCAGGUAA
rnacentral:misc_RNA from 1 species